GGACACAGACACUAGGGGACACUGAGACACUAGGACACAUGGGGACACAGGCACUGUGAGACCUGGGGACACAGACACUUGGGGACACUGGAAAACAUGGGGACACUGAGACACUAGGGGACACAUGGGGAUGCUGAGACACAUGGGGACGCUGUGAGACAUAGGGACAUUGGGAGACAUUGGGACAUGGAGACACCAUGUCCCCCAGCCAGUGUCCCUAGUGUCUCAGUGUCCCCAAG